AGCGAACGCUGGCGGCAGGCCUAACACAUGCAAGUCGAGCGGCCGUAGCAAUACGGCAGCGGCAGACGGGAGAGUAACACGUGGGAACGCGCCCUUCGGUUCGGGAUAACUCAGGGAAACUUGGGCUAAUACCGGAUACGCCCUUACGGGGAAAGAUUUAUUGCCGAAGGAACGGCCCGCGUCCGAUUAGCUAGUUGGUGAGGUAACGGCUCUCCAAGGCGACGAUCGGUAGCUGGUCUGAGAGGAUGACCAGCCUCACUGGGACUGAGACACGGCCCAGACACCUACGGGAGGCAGCAGUGGGGAAUAUUGGACAAUGGGCGCAAGCCUGAUCCAGCCAUGCCGCGUGGGUGAUGAAGGCCCUAGGGUUGUAAAGCCCUUUCAGCGGGGAAGAUAAUGACGGUACCCGCAGAAGAAGCCCCGGCUAACUUCGUGCCAGCCGCCGCCGUAA
rnacentral:rRNA from 1 species